UAGAAAAAAAGCAGGAAUCAUUUCUAUAGUUUGUUACUAGAGAAGUUUCUCUGAAUGUAGAGUGCCUGAAACCACGGGGUGGGGGUGGGGGGGUGCAGUGUUCUCUCCUGAGCGUGAAGUUGGCUGUAAGUGUUGUUCCUGCCACUGUCUAUUGCCAUUGAUGAUUGUUCUUGUCCUCCGUGGGAAUAAGAGGGAGAGGAUGCAGUCUGGGUGGA